UGCAAGUCGAACGAUACUCUUUAGCUUGCUAGAGAGGAAAGUGGCGCACGGGUGCGUAACGCGUAUGCAACCUACCUUAAUCAGGGGGAUAGCCCGAAGAAAUUCGGAUUAACACCGCAUAAAAUCACAGUAUAGCAUUAUACAAUGAUCAAAUAUUUAUAGGAUUAAGAUGGGCAUGCGUGACAUUAGUUAGUUGGCGGGGUAACGGCCCACCAAGACCACGAUGUCUAGGGGAUCUGAGAGGAUGACCCCCCACACUGGUACUGAGACACGGACCAGACUCCUACGGGAGGCAGCAGUAAGGAAUAUUGGUCAAUGGAGGCAACUCUGAACCAGCCAUGCCGCGUGCAGGAAGACAGCCCUCUGGGUCGUAAACUGCUUUUAUUCGGGAAUAAACCUACUUACGUGUAAGUAGCUGAAUGUACCGAAGGAAUAAGGAUCGGCUAACUCCGUGCCAGCAGCCGCGGUAAUACGGAGGAUCCAAGCGUUAUCCGGAUUUAUUGGGUUUAAAGGGUGCGUAGGCGGCUUUUUAAGUCAGGGGUGAAAGACGGUGGCUCAACCAUCGCAGUGCCCUUGAUACUGAAGAGCUUGAAUGAAUUAGAGGUAGGCGGAAUGUGACAAGUAGCGGUGAAAUGCAUAGAUAUGUCACAGAACACCGAUUGCGAAGGCAGCUUACUAUGAUUUUAUUGACGCUGAGGCACGAAAGCGUGGGGAUCAAACAGGAUUAGAUACCCUGGUAGUCCACGCCCUAAACGAUGAAUACUCGCUGUUAGCGAUACACAGUUAGCGGCUAAGCGAAAGCGUUAAGUAUUCCACCUGGGGAGUACGGUCGCAAGAUUGAAACUCAAAGGAAUUGACGGGGGCCCGCACAAGCGGAGGAGCAUGUGGUUUAAUUCGAUGAUACGCGAGGAACCUUACCCGGGCUUGAAAGUUAGUGAAUCAUUUAGAGAUAGAUGAGUCCGCAAGGACACGAAACUAGGUGCUGCAUGGCUGUCGUCAGCUCGUGCCGUGAGGUGUUGGGUUAAGUCCCGCAACGAGCGCAACCCCUAUGUUUAGUUGCCAGCACGUUAAGGUGGGGACUCUAAACAGACUGCCUGUGCAAACAGAGAGGAAGGAGGGGACGACGUCAAGUCAUCAUGGCCCUUACGUCCGGGGCUACACACGUGCUACAAUGGAUGGUACAGAGGGCAGCAAGCUGGUAACAGCAAGCAAAUCUCCAAAAGCCAUUCACAGUUCGGAUAGAGGUCUGCAACUCGACCUCUUGAAGUUGGAUUCGCUAGUAAUCGUAUAUCAGCAAUGAUACGGUGAAUACGUUCCCGGGCCUUGUACACACCGCCCGUCAAGCCAUGGAAGUUGGGGGUACCUAAAGUAUGUAACCGCAAGGAGC
rnacentral:rRNA from 1 species